rnacentral:rRNA from 1 species
CCUACGGGAGGCUGCAGUGGGGAAUAUUGGACAAUGGGGGCAACCCUGAUCCAGCCAUGCCGCGUGUGUGAAGAAGGCCCUCGGGUUGUAAAGCACUUUCAGUGAGGAAGAACGCCUGGUGGUUAAUACCCAUCAGGAAAGACAUCACUCACAGAAGAAGCACCGGCUAACUCCGUGCCAGCAGCCGCGGUAAUACGGAGGGUGCGAGCGUUAAUCGGAAUUACUGGGCGUAAAGCGCGCGUAGGUGGCUUGAUAAGCCGGUUGUGAAAGCCCCGGGCUCAACCUGGGAACGGCAUCCGGAACUGUCAAGCUAGAGUGCAGGAGAGGAAGGUGGAAUUCCCGGUGUAGCGGUGAAAUGCGUAGAGAUCGGGAGGAAUACCAGUGGCGAAGGCGGCCUCCUGGACUGACACUGACACUGAGGUGCGAAAGCGUGGGUAGCAAACAGGAUUAGAUACCCGAGUAGUC